AUUGAACGCUGGCGGCAGGCCUAACACAUGCAAGUCGAGCGGAUGAAGGGAGCUUGCUCCUGGAUUCAGCGGCGGACGGGUGAGUAAUACCUUGGAAUCUGCCUGGUAGUGGGGGAUAACGUCCGGAAACGGGCGCUAAUACCGCAUACGUCCUGAGGGAGAAAGUGGGGGAUCUUCGGACCUCACGCUAUCAGAUGAGCCUAGGUCGGAUUAGCUAGUUGGUGGGGUAAAGGCCUACCAAGGCGACGAUCCGUAACUGGUCUGAGAGGAUGAUCGGUCACACUGGAACUGAGACACGGUCCAGACUCCUACGGGAGGCAGCAGUGGGGAAUAUUGGACAAAGGGCGAAAGCCUGAUCCAGCCAUGCCGCGUGUGUGAAGAAGGUCUUCGGAUUGUAAAGCACUUUAAGUUGGGAGGAAGGGCAGUAAGUUAAUACCUUGCUGUUUUGACGUUACCAACAGAAUAAGCACCGGCUAACUUCGUG
rnacentral:rRNA from 1 species